rnacentral:rRNA from 1 species
CGCGGCCUAUCAGCUUGUUGGUGAGGUAAUGGCUCACCAUGGCUUCGACGGGUAGCCGGCCUGAGAGGGUGACCGGUCACACUGGGACUGAGACACGGCCCAGACUCCUACGGGAGGCAGCAGUGGGGAAUAUUGGACAAUGGGCGGAAGCCUGAUCCAGCAACGCCGCGUGAGGGAUGACGGCCUUCGGGUUGUAAACCUCUUUCGCCUGUGACGAAGCGCAAGUGACGGUAACAGGUAAAGAGGCACCGGCCAACUACGUGCCAGCAGCCGCGGUAAUACGUAGGGUGCGAGCGUUGUCCGGAAUUAUUGGGCGUAAAGGGCUCGUAGGCGGUUUGUCGCGUCGGGAGUGAAAACCAGGUGCUUAACACCUGGCUUGCUUUCGAUACGGGCAGACUAGAGGUAUUCAGGGGAGAACGGAAUUCCUGGUGUAGCGGUGAAAUGCGCAGAUAUCAGGAGGAACACCGGUGGCGAAGGCGGUUCUCUGGGAAUGACCUGACGCUGAGGAGCGAAAGUGUGGGGAGCGAACAGGAUUAGAUACCCUGGUAGUCCACACCGUAAACGUUGGGCGCUAGGUGUGGGGUCCAUUCCACGGAUUCCGUGCCGCAGCUAACGCAUUAAGCGCCCCGCCUGGGGAGUACGG